rnacentral:rRNA from 1 species
UACGUAGGGGGCAAGCGUUGUCCGGAUUUAUUGGGCGUAAAGAGCGUGUAGGCGGCCAUGUAGGUCCGUUGUGAAAACUCGAGGCUCAACCUCGAGACGCCGAUGGAAACCAUGUGGCUAGAGUCCGGAAGAGGCGAGUGGAAUUCCUGGUGUAGCGGUGGAAUGCGCAGAUAUCAGGAGGAACACCAAUAGCGAAGGCAGCUCGCUGGGACGUUACUGACACUGAGGCGCGAAAGCGUGGGGAGCGAACAGG